GACGAACGCUGGCGGCGUGCUUAACACAUGCAAGUCGAACGGAAAGGCCCUGCUUUUGUGGGGUGCUCGAGUGGCGAACGGGUGAGUAACACGUGAGUAACCUGCCCUUGACUUUGGGAUAACUUCAGGAAACUGGGGCUAAUACCGGAUAGGAGCUCCUGCUGCAUGGUGGGGGUUGGAAAGUUUCGGCGGUUGGGGAUGGACUCGCGGCUUAUCAGCUUGUUGGUGGGGUAGUGGCUUACCAAGGCUUUGACGGGUAGCCGGCCUGAGAGGGUGACCGGCCACAUUGGGACUGAGGUACGGCCCAGACUCCUACGGGAGGCAGCAGUGGGGAAUAUUGCACAAUGGGCGGAAGCCUGAUGCAGCAACGCCGCGUGCGGGAUGACGGCCUUCGGGUUGUAAACCGCUUUCGCCUGUGACGAAGCGUGAGUGACGGUAAUGGGUAAAGAAGCACUGGCUAACUACGUG
rnacentral:rRNA from 1 species